CACUUCAUUCCUGUUCAUUAUUGUGUUGUGAAAACUCAAAACUCAUUUUUUACUGGGGUAAGGCAAUCUCUAUGGUAAUUCUGCACUUUGUUCCUCUUUCUAUCAUAGAUUUAGAGAUGAUUUCUUGCCUUGUAGUUCAGCUUUGUAUGGAUCUGGAAAUGUCAGCCAAUUGUUGUAAGUGAUCAGUAAAGGUUCAGGAAUGACUAUCUCAAAUUUACAUAGAUAUAUUGGAUUUGUUGGCUACAUGUUCUAUGUUUUGGACAGAAAAUGAACUGUUUUACAUAUUACUCAUUGCCAUCUAUGGCAAGUGAUGUCAACAUUGCAUGUAAGGAAAUGAAAAUUAUUAUAUUGUUUUAAUCUUGUAGAGCUAUGAUGAGUGGUAUUUUCCUAAGCUUUUCUGAUUUGAUGUGUUGCGUUCAGUUUUAAAUUGAUCAUCUUUGUUUAGGUUUUGCUGUUUAAAUUGCAGGAUGGUAAGAUUGAAGGUAGCAUAUGUCCUAAAGAAAUAAAGGAGUGUGUGCACCAUUCUCUGUGUUUAGAUGCUCCUAUUCAUUAACAUUGAUUUUUGGUUGCCCAUAUGAAUAUUGUUGUUUACUUUAGACCUGUUGAAGCUUUCAAUCAAGUGAAGUUGCGGAUUUGAUAUGCUUCUAUGCCUGUUAAUGAUGUUUCUAUUCAUUUGCCCAUGGUUUGCUUGUCAUUUAACAUGGUUUUGCAUCUAAUUUGGCAUGGAUGUCAACUGAUAAAAUUGCCAAUGAAUGCUACUAAACUAAGGUAUUUCUUUGGAUGACCCACUGUUUUCUUUGUUGCUGAGAUAUCAAACUAUAAGCCCUAACUUGCAAGGCCCAUACAUUUUACCUUUUAUUCCAUUUUGGUGUCUAAUCAUCUUUUUCUUUUAUAUGCUAUUUUUUGGUUUAAUUCUUCUAUUCAAGAUUAUUUUUAGCUUUGGUUGCAAAUAUUUUGGUGAAAGAAUUUUGACAUAUUGAAGUGACAAAAGCAUAUAGUGUCAAAUUUAUCCCACUUAUUAUUACCAAAAGUAGAAAAGGUAAAAAAGAUAAAGUUGAUUAAAGGGAUAUUUCUAGGUCUGUUAAAGUUAUGAAUUUAAGGAUAAGUUAGUUUAAAAAAAAAUUGGAAGAUAUUUAUUCGCAUUCAUUUAUAAAAUGAGAACAUUUAUUUUAAUAUAUCAGGCUUGAUGAAUUUAUUAUAAAAUAAUAAAUUACUUGUAAAUAUGCAUUAUUUGUUUGUUUUUUCCUCCUGUCCAUUCAACAACAUUGCACCUAGUAAUAUAGAUUGGAACCUCAACCAAACUCAAAGAAAAUAUGCAUCAGACAUGCUUUGAUUUUUGUCUGUUUAUUUUUAAAACUUUCUUCACUUCCUUUACAUCAGACCGUCUUUAUGCCUAUGAUGUUCAUCUCCUUGAAGAGUAGGGUUGAAGAAUAGAAGCAGGAAGAGAAGAGAGAUUUCAAAGACGAAAGAAGCUAAACCAUUCUGCAGAUCGGAAGUUGGAUCAGAUAUACCCACUGAAGAAUUUGUGCCACAUUAUUAGUAUGCAAGUAAAUUAUUGAAGAGUGGGAUGACAAAGAAUGUAAAGAAACUUUACAUCAAUGGGAGGAUGAUUGGAUGAUGAUGGUGUGAAUGAUGACUUCUUAUUGUAGUUGAAGAAUGAGCUUGAUAGCAACUCUGAGAAGAAAUCGACUGUGGAGUCAUGGAGGCAGAGAAUUGAUGAAUCAAUUGGCUGUCUUCUUAGCAAUUCUCUUGUGCCAAAAUAAAUUAACUUUGACAAUCCGACUUGGGUCACCGAGUUUAAAUAUAUGAAUUUUGUUGUUUUAUUUUGGCAUUAGUUAUUUUGGGGACAUAUAUACUCGUUCAUUUGGAAAAUUAUGUUUGUUUGAAAUACUCUGA